UACGAAGGGGGCUAGCGUUGCUCGGAAUCACUGGGCGUAAAGCGCACGUAGGCGGUUCUUUAAGUCAGGGGUGAAAUCCUGGAGCUCAACUCCAGAACUGCCUUUGAUACUGGGGAUCUCGAGUCCGGGAGAGGUGAGUGGAAUUGCGAGUGUAGAGGUGAAAUUCGUAGAUAUUCGCAAGAACACCAGUGGCGAAGGCGGCUCACUGGCCCGGUACUGACGCUGAGGUGCGAAAGCGUGGGGAGCAAACAGG
rnacentral:rRNA from 1 species